GUGGGGAAUAUUGGACAAUGGGCGCAAGCCUGAUCCAGCCAUACCGCGUGGGUGAAGAAGGCCUUCGGGUUGUAAAGCCCUUUUGUUGGGAAAGAAAAGCAGUCGGCUAAUACCCGGUUGUUCUGACGGUACCCAAAGAAUAAGCACCGGCUAACUUCGUGCCAGCAGCCGCGGUAAUACGAAGGGUGCAAGCGUUACUCGGAAUUACUGGGCGUAAAGCGUGCGUAGGUGGUUGUUUAAGUCUGUUGUGAAAGCCCUGGGCUCAACCUGGGAAUUGCAGUGGAUACUGGGCGACUAGAGUGUGGUAGAGGGUAGUGGAAUUCCCGGUGUAGCAGUGAAAUGCGUAGAGAUCGGGAGGAACAUCCAUGGCGAAGGCAGCUACCUGGACCAACACUGACACUGAGGCACGAAAGCGUGGGGAGCAAACAGGAUUAGAUACCCUGGUAGUCCACGCCCUAAACGAUGCGAACUGGAUGUUGGGUGCAAUUUGGCACGCAGUAUCGAAGCUAACGCG
rnacentral:rRNA from 1 species